GUGGAGCCUGCGGCUUAAUUUGACUCAACACGGGAAACCUCACCAGGCCCGGACACCAGAAGGAUUGACAGAUUAAGAGCUCUUUCUCGAUUUGGUGGGUGGUGGUGCAUGGCCGUUCUUAGUUGGUGGAGUGAUUUGUCUGGUUAAUUCCGGUAACGAACGAGACUCUGGCCUACUAAAUAGUCGACGGGCGUUUUGGUGCAUGGGCCCCGUUCGACACAGUCUUCUUAGAGGGAUGAGCAGCGAGUAUAGCUGCAGGAGAUUGAGCAAUAACAGGUCUGUGAUGCCCUUAGAUGUCCUGGGCCGCACGCGCGCUACACUGAAUGGGUUAGCGGGUUGUCCUUCUCCGAGAGGAGCGGGAAAUCGCGUGAAAACCAUUCGUGAUAGGGAUUGGGGCUUGCAAUUGUUUCCCAUAAACGAGGAAUUCCCAGUAAGCGCAAGUCAUCAGCUUGCGUUGAUUAAGUCCCUGCCCUUUGUACACACCGCCCGUCGCUACUACCGAUUGAAUGAUUUAGUGAGGCCUUCGGACUGGCGGUCUUGGACUGGGGCGCCGGCGUUCUCCCAGCAAUGGGGUGCCGGCGACUCGCCUGGACGGGCCGGAAAGAUGUCCAAACUUGAUCAUUUAGAGGAAGUAAAAGUCGUAACAAGGUUUCC
rnacentral:rRNA from 1 species